UACAGAGGUCCCAAGCGUUGUUCGGAUUUACUGGGCGUAAAGGGUGCGUAGGCGGCGCGGUAAGUCGGGUGUGAAAUCUCGGGGCUUAACUCCGAAACUGCACUCGAUACUGCCGUGCUUGAGGACUGGAGAGGAGACUGGAAUUUACGGUGUAGCGGUGAAAUGCGUAGAUAUCGUAAGGAAGACCAGUGGCGAAGGCGGGUCUCUGGACAGUUCCUGACGCUGAGGCACGAAGGUCAGGGGAGCAAACGGG
rnacentral:rRNA from 1 species